ACUGAGCGGCGGACGGGUGAGUAACGCGUGGGUAACCUGCCUCGUACAGGGGGAUAACAGUUGGAAACGGCUGCUAAUACCGCAUAAGCGCACAGUACCGCAUGGUACGGUGUGAAAAACUCCGGUGGUAUGAGAUGGACCCGCGUCUGAUUAGGUAGUUGGUGGGGUAACGGCCUACCAAGCCGACGAUCAGUAGCCGACCUGAGAGGGUGACCGGCCACAUUGGGACUGAGACACGGUCCAA
rnacentral:rRNA from 1 species